AUUCGAAACUGGCAAGCUCGAGUAUGUUAGAGGGUGGUAGAAUUCCAGGUGUAGCGGUGAAAUGCGUAGAGAUCUGGAGGAAUCCCGGUGGGGAAGGCGGCCCCCUGGACGAAGACUGACGCUCAGGUGCGAAAGCGUGGGGAGCAAACAGGAUUAGAUACCCUGGUAGUCCACGCUGUAAACGAUGUCGAUUUGGAGGUUGUGCCCUUGAGGCGUGGCUUCCGGAGCUAACGCGUUAAAUCGACCGCCUGGGGAGUACGGCCGCAAGGUUAAAACUCAAAUGAAUUGACGGGGGCCCGCACAAGCGGUGGAGCAUGUGGUUUAAUUCGAUGCAACGCGAAGAACCUUACCUACUCUUGACAUCCAGAGAACUUAGCAGGGAUGCUUUGGUGCCUUCGGGAACUCUGAGACAGGUGCUGCAUGGCUGUCGUCAGC
rnacentral:rRNA from 1 species